UGGGAUGUGGCUCAGUGGUAGAGUGCUUACCUAGCAUGUGUGAGGCACUGGGUUCUAUUCCUGGCACCACAU
rfam:Ictidomys tridecemlineatus contig103286, whole genome shotgun sequence.